AAUCAAGAUGCUAAAGUUUAUGAUGGGAAAGGAUUUUUCCUCAAACAUAAACUAAACAUGUUGAGCUGUGUUAUUCUUGAGCUUGAUGAAGGAAAUAUCUGUCCUACUUGUCCCAAAUGUAUUCCAAAACUGUGGUAAUACAUAUGCCAGGUUAACAACAUUAUCUGAGAUCCAACAUCCAAGUACAAUCCGUUUGUUGUCAACCAGCAUAUGUGGUCACUUGACACCCAUCUGUCAACACAUAACCUGGACAUCUCAUUGGAUGACAAUCCUCGUUCUUUCAUAAUCUCACUGUAUGGGGUUCUGUACAAAAGCUUCUGAAAGGCUGUAAUUGAAGCAGCUGAUGGAUGUUCCACCACCGUGUCUGGUUUGUUCAAUGGUCGUGAAAACCAGGCAAUUUCCUCUUCGACUUCUACUUGUAUGCUUUUAAGGUGUGAAAUUUCUGCAGAUUGGUGAUGCAAUUGAUAUCUAACCUUCCUUGUGAUGUGUUGAUACAUGCUCCUUUGCUUGUACUUGAUGCCUCAACUAUUUUUCUCCAUUGUUGCAACUGGUCCAUACUUGGCAUAGAUGUUACAUGGCAAGGAUCAACAACUGAAUCAUCAUCUGUACUGCAAUUUACACCUUUGGUAAACCAUUUCUCAAUCUUUGGCAACAAAGACUCAAAAGCCUGACCUCUAGUUAGCUUGCUCAGUACGGGCUCUAUCUUUUUUGAAGCUUUUUUGAGAGACAAAACCUCCAAAUAAAUUAUGUACAUAUAAUUAACAAAACUAAUUUCCAUUUCUA